rfam:Neotoma lepida isolate 417 scaffold_5, whole genome shotgun sequence.
UGAGAGAUGGCUCAGAGGUUAAGAGCGCUGGCUGCUCUUCCAGAGGACCUUGGUUUGAUUCCCAGUCACUUAA